rnacentral:rRNA from 1 species
AAGCGUACACGGUGGAUGCCCUGGCAGUCAGAGGCGAUGAAGGGCGUACUAAUCUGCGAUAAGCGCCGGUAAGGUGAUAUGAACCGUUAUAACCGGCGAUACCCGAAUGGGGAAACCCAGUGUGAUUCGUCACACUAUCAUUAACUGAAUCCAUAGGUUAAUGAGGCGAACCGGGGGAACUGAAACAUCUAAGUACCCCGAGGAAAAGAAAUCAACCGAGAUUCCCCCAGUAGCGGCGAGCGAACGGGGAGGAGCCCAGAGCCUGAAUCAGCAUGUGUGUUAGUGGAAGCGUCUGGAAAGGCGCGCGAUACAGGGUGACAGCCCCGUACACAAAAGCGCAUGUGCUGUGAGCUCGAUGAGUAGGGCGGGACACGUGGUAUCCUGUCUGAAUAUGGGGGGACCAUCCUCCAAGGCUAAAUACUCCUGACUGACCGAUAGUGAACCAGUACCGUGAGGGAAAGGCGAAAAGAACCCCGGCGAGGGGAGUGAAAAAGAACCUGAAACCGUGUACGUACAAGCAGUGGGAGCACCCUUUGGGUGUGACUGCGUACCUUUUGUAUAAUGGGUCAGCGACUUAUAUUCUGUAGCAAGGUUAACCGAAUAGGGGAGCCGGAGGGAAACCGAGUCUUAACCGGGCGUUAAGUUGCAGGGUAUAGACCCGAAACCCGGUGAUCUAGCCAUGGGCAGGUUGAAGGUUGGGUAACACUAACUGGAGGACCGAACCGACUAAUGUUGAAAAAUUAGCGGAUGACCUGUGGCUGGGGGUGAAAGGCCAAUCAAACCGGGAGAUAGCUGGUUCUCCCCGAAAGCUAUUUAGGUAGCGCCUCGUGAAUUCAUCUCCGGGGGUAGAGCACUGUUUCGGCUAGGGGGCCAUCCCGGCUUACCAACCCGAUGCAAACUGCGAAUACCGGAGAAUGUUAUCACGGGAGACACACGGCGGGUGCUAACGUCCGUCGUGAAGAGGGAAACAACCCAGACCGCCAGCUAAGGUCCCAAAGUCAUGGUUAAGUGGGAAACGAUGUGGGAAGGCCCAGACAGCCAGGAUGUUGGCUUAGAAGCAGCCAUCAUUUAAAGAAAGCGUAAUAGCUCACUGGUCGAGUCGGCCUGCGCGGAAGAUGUAACGGGGCUAAACCAUGCACCGAAGCUGCGGCAGCGACACUGUGUGUUGUUGGGUAGGGGAGCGUUCUGUAAGCCUGUGAAGGUGUGUCGUGAGGCAUGCUGGAGGUAUCAGAAGUGCGAAUGCUGACAUAAGUAACGAUAAAGCGGGUGAAAAGCCCGCUCGCCGGAAGACCAAGGGUUCCUGUCCAACGUUAAUCGGGGCAGGGUGAGUCGACCCCUAAGGCGAGGCCGAAAGGCGUAGUCGAUGGGAAACGGGUUAAUAUUCCCGUACUUGGUGUUACUGCGAAGGGGGGACGGAGAAGGCUAUGUUGGCCGGGCGACGGUUGUCCCGGUUUAAGCGUGUAGGUGUGUGUUCCAGGUAAAUCCGGUUCACUUUAACACUGAGGCGUGACGACGAGGCACUACGGUGCUGAAGCAACAAAUGCCCUGCUUCCAGGAAAAGCCUCUAAGCAUCAGGUAACAUCAAAUCGUACCCCAAACCGACACAGGUGGUCAGGUAGAGAAUACCAAGGCGCUUGAGAGAACUCGGGUGAAGGAACUAGGCAAAAUGGUGCCGUAACUUCGGGAGAAGGCACGCUGACACGUAGGUGAAGUGAUUUACUCAUGGAGCUGAAGUCAGUCGAAGAUACCAGCUGGCUGCAACUGUUUAUUAAAAACACAGCACUGUGCAAACACGAAAGUGGACGUAUACGGUGUGACGCCUGCCCGGUGCCGGAAGGUUAAUUGAUGGGGUCAGCGCAAGCGAAGCUCCUGAUCGAAGCCCCGGUAAACGGCGGCCGUAACUAUAACGGUCCUAAGGUAGCGAAAUUCCUUGUCGGGUAAGUUCCGACCUGCACGAAUGGCGUAAUGAUGGCCAGGCUGUCUCCACCCGAGACUCAGUGAAAUUGAACUCGCUGUGAAGAUGCAGUGUACCCGCGGCAAGACGGAAAGACCCCGUGAACCUUUACUAUAGCUUGACACUGAACAUUGAGCCUUGAUGUGUAGGAUAGGUGGGAGGCUUUGAAGUGUGGACGCCAGUCUGCAUGGAGCCGACCUUGAAAUACCACCCUUUAAUGUUUGAUGUUCUAACGUGGACCCGUUACCCGGGUUGCGGACAGUGUCUGGUGGGUAGUUUGACUGGGGCGGUCUCCUCCUAAAGAGUAACGGAGGAGCACGAAGGUUGGCUAAUCCUGGUCGGACAUCAGGAGGUUAGUGCAAUGGCAUAAGCCAGCUUGACUGCGAGCGUGACGGCGCGAGCAGGUGCGAAAGCAGGUCAUAGUGAUCCGGUGGUUCUGAAUGGAAGGGCCAUCGCUCAACGGAUAAAAGGUACUCCGGGGAUAACAGGCUGAUACCGCCCAAGAGUUCAUAUCGACGGCGGUGUUUGGCACCUCGAUGUCGGCUCAUCACAUCCUGGGGCUGAAGUAGGUCCCAAGGGUAUGGCUGUUCGCCAUUUAAAGUGGUACGCGAGCUGGGUUUAGAACGUCGUGAGACAGUUCGGUCCCUAUCUGCCGUGGGCGCUGGAGAACUGAGGGGGGCUGCUCCUAGUACGAGAGGACCGGAGUGGACGCAUCACUGGUGUUCGGGUUGUCAUGCCAAUGGCACUGCCCGGUAGCUAAAUGCGGAAGAGAUAAGUGCUGAAAGCAUCUAAGCACGAAACUUGCCCCGA